rnacentral:rRNA from 1 species
CUCGUAGGUGGUUUGUCGCGUCGUCUGUGAAAUUCCGGGGCUUAACUCCGGGCGUGCAGGCGAUACGGGCAUAACUUGAGUGCUGUAGGGGAGACUGGAAUUCCUGGUGUAGCGGUGAAAUGCGCAGAUAUCAGGAGGAACACCGAUGGCGAAGGCGGCUCACUGGGCCAUUACUGACGCUGAGGCACGAAAGCGUGGGGAGCAAACA